rnacentral:rRNA from 1 species
CCUCUUUUACCACCAACGCAGGCUCGAAGUUCUCUUCGGGUUGACGGUAGGUGGGGAAUAAGGACCGGGCUAACUACGUGCCAGCAGCCGCGGUAAUACGUAGGGUCCGAGCGUUGUCCGGAAUUAUUGGGCGUAAAGAGCUCGUAGGCGGCGUGUCGCGUCUGCUGUGAAAGACCGGGGCUUAACUCCGGUUCUGCAGUGGAUACGGGCAUGCUAGAGGUAGGUAGGGGAGACUGGAAUUCCUGGUGUAGCGGUGAAAUGCGCAGAUAUCAGGAGGAACACCGGUGGCGAAGGCGGGUCUCUGGGCCUUACCUGACGCUGAGGAGCGAAAGCAUGGGGAGCGAACAGGAUUAGAUACCCUGGUAGUCCAUGCCGUAAACGUUGGGCGCUAGGUGUGGGGACUUUCCACGGUUUCCGCGCCGUAGCUAACGCAUUAAGCGCCCCGCCUGGGGAGUACGGCCGCAAGGCUAAAACUCAAAGGAAUUGACGGGGGCCCGCACAAGCGGCGGAGCAUGUUGCUUAAUUCGACGCAACGCGAAGAACCUUACCAAGGUUUGACAUCACCCGUGGACUCGCAGAGAUGUGAGGUCAUUUAGUUGGCGGGUGACAGGUGGUGCAUGGCUGUCGUCAGCUCGUGUCGUGAGAUGUUGGGUUAAGUCCCGCAACGAGCGCAACCCUUGUUCCAUGUUGCCAGCACGUAAUGGUGGGGACUCAUGGGAGACUGCCGGGGUCAACUCGGAGGAAGGUGGGGAUGACGUCAAGUCAUCAUGCCCCUUAUGUCUUGGGCUGCAAACAUGCUACAAUGGCCGGUACAAUGGGCGUGCGAUACCGUAAGGUGGAGCGAAUCCCUAAAAGCCGGUCUCAGUUCGGAUUGGGGUCUGCAACUCGACCCCAUGAAGGUGGAGUCGCUAGUAAUCGCGGAUCAGCAACGCCGCGGUGAAUACGUUCCCGGGCCUUGUACACACCGCCCGUCACGUCAUGAAAGUCGGCAACACCCGAAACUUGCGGCCUAACCC